UACGGAGGAUGCGAGCGUUAUCUGGAUUUAUUGGGUUUAAAGGGUGCGUAGGCGGGCUUUUAAGUCAGCGGUAAAAAUUCGGGGCUCAACCCCGUCCGGCCGUUGAAACUGGGGGCCUUGAGUGGGCGAGAAGAAGGCGGAAUGCGUGGUGUAGCGGUGAAAUGCAUAGAUAUCACGCAGAACCCCGAUUGCGAAGGCAGCCUUCCGGCGCCCUACUGACGCUGAGGCACGAAAGUGCGGGGAUCGAACAGG
rnacentral:rRNA from 1 species